AUCUGGAACAAACAGUUACCACACCAUCCACACAACUUGAAAAAAGCACAAAGAAUGACCAACAGACAAAGGGAAAAAAGAAGAGGAAAAAGAAAAACAAGGCCCAAAGUAAAGCCCAGUCAGAAGAGCAAAACAGAGUAGAAAUGGUCACUGACAAUAGACUGGUGGAAGAUCUUCCAGUGUAGCCUCCUCAUUAACUGGAAAGAAGAUGCAAUUUAAGGCAAAAAAUGGUGCAAUUUGUGAGUAAAUCGCAUCAACUAGAGCCAAUCUCAUUACAGGGACCACCAGUGAUUUCAAAAUGGGUGUAAUAAAUAAUGUAAUUUUACUGAGCCCAUGGUAGAUAUGAGUGCUUGGGAAGUCCUUGGUGUUACCAAAGAAGUUCAGAGAGGACUCAGUGAACAAAGUUUUACUACACCAACCCCUAUACAGACUUUCUCCCUUCCACCUGCAAUAUUCCACCGCAGGGACAUCAUUGGUGCAGCAGAAACAGGUUCAGGGGUAAAACACUAGCCUUUGGGAUUCCAAUUCUCACCCAUAUCCUUGGCCACAAGUCCAAUCAAGAAGCAGGUGAAACUACAGAAAAUACUACCAAAAAUAAUGCUACAGAAGCCACAGAAACUGGUAAUGGAACAUCCAAGCUCAAGAAACCACUCCUGGCGUUGAUAAUGACACCAACCAGAGAAUUGGUUAUACAAAUAAAGAAUCAUCUUAAACAGGCUGCAAAACACACAUCUUUAGAGAUUGUUGCUGUGGUUGGAGGAAUGGCACCUCAAAAACAGCAGAGGCUUUUAAACAAGUGUCCUGAGAUAAUAGUAGCCACCCCGGGAAGACUGUGGGAUUUGAUUUCCGAGUGAUUAUGAUGAAGAUGAGGGAACUGCAAAGCGAAGACAUCUACAGAAGUUUAUUUUCUCUGCAACUUUAACUCUUCCAAAGUCGUUUAAGAGGAAAGGAAAGUAAAAGAAGAUCACAAGCGAAGAAGGCUUUGGAAUACUCUUUGUAUUUUACGUUUUUAAUGUCACCGAUGGACAAAGUUGGGCAGCUGAAGAACAGUUGUAAAAUUAUCGAUGUCACCAACAAGAGAGGAACCGUAGACAGAAGCAAAGAUCUCAUGUGUAAUUGAAGAGAAGAUUUAAGCAGAGUGCGAGUGGCUUACUUCUGGCUACAGGUGUGGCCGCCAGAGGUUUG